UACGUAGGGUGCAAGCGUUAUCCGGAAUUAUUGGGCGUAAAAGAGCUCGUAGGCGGUUUGUCGCGUCUGCUGUGAAAACUGGAGGCUCAACCUCCAGCCUGCAGUGGGUACGGGCAGACUAGAGUGUUGCAGGGGAGACUGGAAUUCCUGGUGUAGCGGUGAAAUGACGCAGAUAUCAGGAGGAACACCGGUGGCGAAGGCGGGUCUCUGGGCAACAACUGACGCUGAGGAGCGAAAGCGUGGGGAGCAAACAGG
rnacentral:rRNA from 1 species